UACGAAGGGGGCUAGCGUUGCUCGGAAUUACUGGGCGUAAAGGGCGCGUAGGCGGCACUGUUAGUCAGGCGUGAAAGUCCUGGGCUCAACCUGGGAACUGCGCUUGAUACGGCAGAGCUAGAGGAUGGAAGAGGCUCGCGGAAUUCCCAGUGUAGAGGUGAAAUUCGUAGAUAUUGGGAAGAACACCGGUGGCGAAGGCGGCGAGCUGGUCCAUUACUGACGCUGAGGUGCGACAGCGUGGGGAGCAAACAGG
rnacentral:rRNA from 1 species